rnacentral:snRNA from 1 species
GUGCUCGCUUCGGUAGCACAUAUACAUAUACUAAAACUGGAAAGACAGAAAAUUAGCAUGGCCCCUGUGCAAGGAUGACAAGAAAAUUCGUGAAGCAUUCCAUAUUUUU